rnacentral:lncRNA from 1 species
AUCCCGUCAAUUGACAGCAUGAUCCUAGUAAGCUUGCAUGGUUAAAGAUCCUGGACCGUGUUUCCCUACAAAAACUACAGUUCUGAUGGAAGGACAUUGUAUGAGCUAUGAAGGUGCAUGGUGUGUCCCAUCCUCAGUCCUCGCAAUCCAAUCAUGCACAUCCUAGAAUGUUGUGCCAUUUAAACAUUUCAACGUACAGUUUAUAUGCUCAUU